AUAGACUUGCAGCGUAAGACUUAUGGUGGGACUGUUUGCAAUCGUGGGUGAGCCCUAGCAGGCCACUGCAAUCAGAGAAAAUGACAUCUUCCCCCAACCUGUGCCCUUCAGCCGGUUAGUGGUUCUUUCUUUUCUAUCUGGUUCUUAGGAGUAUAAGAAGCUGCCUUAUACUGCAUCAGACCAUUUGUUUAUCAAGCUCAAUAUUGUCUGUACUGACUGGCAGGUUUCAAGCACAGACCUUCCCAGCCUUACCUGAAGAUUCUGGAGGGGGAAUUUGUGGCAUUCUGCCUAUGAAGGUGAUGCUCUGCCACUGAGUUAUGGUCCUUUCUUGAAUGGCUAUGAUCAUUUUUGUAGCCAGCCCCUGGGGGGGGGGGGAAUGCCCUAAGUAUAAAUUUGCUUUCUUAACCCACAUGUCUAUGUUAUCCCUGAUUGGCUUGGAUCACCCUAUGAAAUAGAAAGAAGCCCAGGAAGGGGGUGAAAUAAAUAAGAGUACAGCAACAGAUGGGGGUGCAGGAGGGAAUGACAUAAAAAGCUGCAAAAAUUGGAAUAUCCACAGCAUCAAGGUUCCCCACUCCCAAAUAAUCCUGUCCUUCUCUAACUCUGCCCCACCCCUGGCCCAUCCAUUCCCAUCUUGCCAGCCAUUUUCUUUUUAAAUUGUUGUUGUUAUGAAGUUCUAUACUGGUCCUAUUUCAGGAAAAAGUGGGGCUGCCGGGUCACUAUUAAGCUGCUCAGUAUACAGUGGUACCUCUUGUUAAGAACUUAAUUCAUUCUGGAGGUCUGUUCUUAACCUGAAACUGUUCUUAACUAGAGGUACCACUUUAGCUAAUGGGGCCUCCUGCUGCCGCCGCGCCGCCAGAGCACGAUUUCUGUUCUCAUCCAGAAGCAAAGUUCUUAACCCGAGGUACUACUUCCAAGUCUGUAACUUGAAGCGUUUGUAGCCCGAAGCAUCUGUAACCCAAGGUACCACUGCAAAGCUUUUGCAACAACUCUUCUGAGAAUAGGAUAGUCCUGUAAGUCCAGCUGCUGCUGGAUAGCACUCCUGCUUACCGAGCUCCUAAUGAGUAUCUCCUACUUCAAGCCUGCUGGAUAACAUUGCAGUUGAUCCAGGAUGCCUUGCUGUGUGAAUCCUUUGAAUCUACUUGUAAAGAGGACACUGCUGGGGCAGCAUGCAAAACCCCCUCUUUCUCCAAAAGUCUGCUAUGAGGUUGAGUUGAGCUUGCUCUCAGCUAUCCAUGGUCCUGAAAAAUUGCUGCUACUUACAUGCCGCCACACACAGCCAAAAUACAGCUCCAUAGAGAGGGAGUGAUGUUGUUGCCAAGUAAUUUCUACUCAGAGUAGACCAGUUGAAAUGAAUAGACCUAAGGACGUCAUGUCUGUUAAUUUCAGUGAGUCUACUCUUGAGUAUAGCUAAAGUUGGAUACAACUCACAGAAGCAGCCAGAUUGCAACGUGUUCUUAAGGUCCUACUUGCAUCUCUCUCUCCCCCCCCCCCCCACACACACUUACUUUUGUGUGUUCCUUUCUGACUCGGGCAAAAAAUUGUUCAUUUAAAUGAAACACAGCAGAGAUGGAAGCUGUAGAAUGUCAAAGCCGUAUUCAGACCCUCACACCUCAAACUAAAAUGAGUAUGUGUGCAUGUAUUUCUAUAGCACUUCAGAAAUUUGCAAGAAUUCAGACUGCUGCACUUGGGAUAUUGACUUCUCUGUGCAAUGAGGUAAACUCUGCCUUGUCAUGGCUGACACAAGACACUGUUUUGGGGGAUGUCAAUACUUGACAUGGGGGGUAGGUGGGGGCUCGAUACUGGUAGGUGGGUAGGACAAAUGUCAAUUUGUAUUAAAAUCUUAGUGCUGAAGCUCAGUUGGUACAAAGUUUUAAUAUUUGCUUCCCCUUAUAGAACAAAGCUUCAAAUGAGGCAAUUGGCACUUCCUGACAGCACUGCCCUUCCCCCUUGGGGAGCUGACCAGCUAAAUGGAUGUUGUG